rnacentral:lncRNA from 1 species
GACAAAAAGGGAUUUUUCUAUUCGAAAUCCCCCAAGAAGGGACAGUCUACGAGAAAUCAUAUCAUAUAUUGUCAGAUUUUAUAUUUGGCCUAACUCAUCCUCACAAAANNNNNNNNNNNUAUAAACGCUACACAGGCCAUAUCUCUUAGCAAUGUGGGACUAAAUCCACCCCUUCACACCCAACACAAUGAAGGUGUUGGAGGCUGCAAUGAAGGCAACCCAAAUGCCGCAAUUAGGCAGAUGGGCGUGGACCGCAAUGAAGGCGGAAUAUCCAACAUAUAUAAAAUGAAAAAAGCCUCGAAGGUUUCAUCCCUGAAAAUGCUAGGGGGUGCUCGGAAAUGGUUAAAGCUUACCAGUUUGAAGUUUAGAUGCAGUGUAGUAUUCUUUCUACCACUAUGCUAAUGUUAAUAUGGAAAUUUGGAAUUUUAUCGAUAUAGAACACUCAUGUCAAUAAAAUGACUUAAAUUCUCUUUACGAUGAAAAAUAGGAAAAACCGA